GUAGCCGGCCUGAGAGGGCGACCGGCCACACUGGGACUGAGACACGGCCCAGACUCCUACGGGAGGCAGCAGUGGGGAAUAUUGGGCAAUGGAGGAAACUCUGACCCAGCGACGCCGCGUGCGGGAUGAAGGCCUUCGGGUUGUAAACCGCUUUCAGUAGGGAAGAAGCGAAAGUGACGGUACCUACAGAAGAAGCACCGGCUAACUAUGUGCCAGCAGCCGCGGUAAUACAUAGGGUGCAAGCGUUGUCCGGAAUUAUUGGGCGUAAAGAGCUCGUAGGUGGUUUGWUACGUCGGRUGUGAAANUCNGGGGCUCAACCCCUGACCUGCAUUCGAUACGGKCAANCUAGAGUUUGGUAGGGGA
rnacentral:rRNA from 1 species